rnacentral:rRNA from 1 species
AUGAGCUUCUACAGCCUUCCGAAGACUCUUCAUCACGAGAUUGCCACCGUUCAGGGGCGCUUUUUCUGGGCCGGCGAGGGAGAUAAGCAGAAAUACCACAUGGUCAGGUGGUCUGAGAUCUGCAAACCUCGCGACCAAGGCGGCCUCGGGAUCAUGUCCUCCAAACGCAUGAAUAUUGCCCUUCUGACUCGGUGGCUCUCGAGGAUUAGCAACGGAGAUGGUGGCCUGUGGCUGCGCAUUAUUCGGCAGAAAUACCUCCGAGGCCAGCCUCUCGCCUUCUGUCAGCGAUCUGGGGGCUCCUAG